rnacentral:lncRNA from 1 species
GAGUGCGGUGUGCAGAUGUGUCAUGUUGUGGAGUGGCGUGGAUGGGCCUGUCUGUCAAAUUGGAGGCGGGGAUCUGGGUUCGAAGCUGGGAGAGGCGGUUGGGCGUUUUUGUCCAAAUGCGAUUCAUGAAAUUGAAAUUGUAUCCAUGUUUGGACCCAAUGUUAAGGACGGAUUGGCGCUCAUGUUCUUUAUCGGACCACUUAGUGACAUGGGUGGGGAUCCUGGAGGGGGGAGCCCUGGGGGCUGCAGCUUUAUAUGCGGGUGGGUCCCUGGACCGUGCUGGGAUGGCGACCGGACUGUGGGUCGGUUUCUUAUAUAUACUAGU